rnacentral:rRNA from 1 species
UACGGAGGGUGCAAGCGUUAUCCGGAUUCACUGGGUUUAAAGGGUGCGUAGGCGGACAGGUAAGUCAGUGGUGAAAUCUCUGGGCUUAACCCAGAAACUGCCGUUGAUACUAUUUGUCUUGAAUAUCCUGGAGGUAGGCGGAAUAUGUCAUGUAGCGGUGAAAUGCUUAGAUAUGACAUAGAACACCGAUAGCGAAGGCAGCUUACUACAGGAUGAUUGACGCUGAGGCACGAAAGCGUGGGGAGCAGACAGG